AACCAUAGAAACCUGCGGAGUACCUGCGGAGGGAUCAUUACAGAGUUGCAAAACUCCCUAAACCAUUGUGAACCUACCUUCUACCGUUGCUUCGGCGGGCGGGCCUAGCGCCCCCCCGGCCCCCCGCGGGCGCCCGCCGGAGGAUAACCAAACUCUUGACAUCAGUGGCCUCUCUGAGUAUUCUUUACUGAAUAAGUCAAAACUUUUAACAACGGAUCU
rnacentral:misc_RNA from 1 species